AGAAUCAACGCUGGCGGCGUGCCUAACACAUGCAAGUCGAACGAGAAAGUGGAGCAAUCCAUGAGUAAAGUGGCGCACGGGUGAGUAACACGUGACUAACCUACCUUUUAGUGGGGGAUAACCUAGGGAAACCUGGGCUAAUACCGCAUAACACUUACGAGUCAAAGCAGCAAUGCGCUUGGAGAGGAGUUCGCGGCCGAUUAGUUAGUUGGCGGGGUAAUGGCCCACCAAGACGAUGAUCGGUA
rnacentral:rRNA from 1 species